rnacentral:rRNA from 1 species
GGAGGGUGCAAACGUUGUUCGGAAUCACUGGGCGUAAAGGGCGCGCAGGCGGACCUGUAAGUCAGGAGUGAAAACUCGGGGCUCAACUCCGAGCCUGCUUCUGAAACUGCAAGUCUUGAGGGCCGGAGAGGAGAGUGGAAUUCCUAGUGUAGCGGUGGAAUGCGUAGAUAUUAGGAAGAACACCAGUGGCGAAGGCGACUCUCUGGACGGUUCCUGACGCUGAGGCGCGAAAGCUAGGGGAGCAAACAGGAUUAGAUACCCUGGUAGUCCUAGCCGUAAACGAUGAGUGCUAGGUGGUGGUGGUUUCAACGCCCUUCACUGCCGGAGCUAACGCAUUAAGCACUCCGCCCUGGGGAGUACGGCCGCAAGGUUG